UAAAAGUAAAUAAUUAUAAAUUUUAGUAACAUAUUUGUAUUUUUAUGCAAUGAUUCCAUAUUCAUAUACAUUAAUAUUUAAAAACUUAGUAUUAGUUAUUUAUAAAUAUGUAAAAUAAACUAUUGAAUAUUAAAUAAAUAAUAUUGAUACAUGUUUUUUAGUAUGUUAGGUUUGAAAGUAUAUUAUUGAACCAGUCAUAAAUAUCUCACAAACGCAUCAGUUUAUAAUCGUUCUACCCGUCGUACAAAUCUCUUAAUAAUGUUUAUAAUCGUAACUAUUUGUAUCCACAAACGCGUGCAAUUGAUGCGGUCAUGUCUUUGAUUCAAACAUUUAUACUAUUAAGAAUGGACUUGAUAUAAAUAUGAGUACACAUCUAUGUUCCUCGUUUACGUAUCUAUAUGUAUAUAGAAAAUCAUGAAAGAAUAUAUUUUGAACAGAUUUGUUUUUUUUUUUUUUUUGGAACAGAUUUUCCUUGAACUAUAAUUUUAGGUAUAUUUUUUUUUUGUAACUAACUAUAAUUUUAGGUUUCUACUUAAUGGAAUGAAAUCACGUGAUACAUAGAAUAUACGUACAAACAAAUUUUUUAAAAAUAAAAAAAAUCGUAAACGAUAUUUGCUUAGAUUCAAAGUUAUUGUUUCGAAAGAUAUGGAAGAUUUAUUUCAAAAGAUAUGGCUUAUAAUUAAUUGACUUUUAAAUGUAGGACAUAAUUUUUUUCAGGUAAAUAAAUAUAUCCGUAUUUUGUGGCCAAUAAAUUAUGAUAUAUAUAUAUAUAUAUAUAUAUAUAUAUCUUUUAUAUCCGAUUUUAGUAUUCACCAUCUUCAUCUUCUCCAAAUGCUUACUGCGUUUAGUUUAUAACAUAAUAUAUUUUUUUUACAAAAAUAGCAGUGCUCAUGUCUAACACUAAUUACAACUUAAAAGUUUAUUCAUUGUUAUUCUUUCUUCUAAAUUUUAAACAACCCAUUAUUAAAAGAAUAUAUGAAUCGAGCAAUUUGUGAAUUGACGGAAUAAAUUACUGCACAUCAAUGGUUAAUGAAUUGAGGCACAUCAUGGUGUAAAUGUGAACCUGGCAAUACAUAGAAGAAACAUGUCAAAGGCUAACAACCCAAGAAUUUUUUUUUUACAACCCAAGAAACUUGUGGAUGCUGUAAAUAUUAAACGAUGUUGUUUAUGUUCAUAGAAGUCUGUUUAACGCAGAUGUGUGGAAAACAGGAAAAUGACAAAAACAUGAAUUAGAUGUUGUG
rnacentral:lncRNA from 1 species